CAGAAAAUAGUUUAAAAAAAAUUUUAGUUUUGGAGACUAAUGAUAAGAGUAUUCUUUUUUCUGA
rnacentral:tRNA from 1 species